UCUGUGGAGAAGUUUAAGCAUUUAAGUGAGAUUUGAUCUUCAGUUAAUAUAUAUUUACCGCGUUGCCGUCCUGCCAGUUAUCAAAAUGUCUUUACGCAAAACAGCUGACUCAUUUUCAUCCGAAUACGAUGAGUUCGUAAAAGCUAUUUCAACAGGUAUGUAAUUUUUUUUUGUUUUAAAAAAAAUUUACUUACUACCAGUAAUCCUUUUUUGCAUGUGUUGACCACAACAAAGGAAACGUUUGUGAUGAAAACGCAGUUCACGUAGAAAAUGGCAAGUGUAAAAAUGAAAAUAUUUACUAUGUUCUACUAUUUCGUUUAUACUUAAUUUCAUUUUUACUUUUUUUGUAGUUGCCAAUCCACAACCAUCGUCAUCGGCAACGUUUCGAUGUGUUGCACAAGGGCAACCUUUGGCAGAGCUUCGUCUAGGCAAGUAGGAAAUUGCCAGGCUUUAAAAAUAGUUUAGAAUUAUGAGAAUUGUACACUGUCUUUUACAGAUCUUGAUGCGAAUAUAAUAUCCGCUGCACCAUCAACUGCCAUGGAAAAAAAGAAACCCACAUCAAAUGGCAACAAAAAGCGAAAAUUGAGUGAUUCAGCGACUGAUGACAAACAAGAGGACCAAGAGGAACUUUCAAUAGCUAUGAAACAGCUUUACAUCCAACAAGUAAAGUCCUUGGAAGACCAAGUUAGUUUCCUCAAAAGUCAGCUGAAUAACAAAAUGGACAUUUUACUGAAAAACUCGGCUCGGCACACAGAAGCACUCAAUGAAGUAGUGGCAGCUAGUCGUCCAAGAGAAGGACUUCUUCCAAGGACGGAAUUUGUGUUGGAGCCAUUAAAGACGGAAGAAGAAUUAGAAACAUUCGACCAGCAAUUAGAGUUAGAUUCUAUUUUUAAGCAAAAUGUGGUGCGUUGGUUGCACGCACAGGUUGCAGACUCUAAUGUAAAAAGACGUCUGCACAAUUUAUUAGAUUUAAUUUUUACAAAAACUUUAUUUGCUAAAUGUAGUUGGACAGGUCGAGCGAAAGAAGAACAAAAAAUAGAGUUACGUAAAUUUACCAACAUUUUAUUUUUAUUUAAAACUAUAGGUAGUAAUGAAAAAUUAAUGAUAAGUUCGGACUAUUUAGCUAAAUUCUUAAAAAGUAAGUUGAACCAUGCACCUGCGCGUGUCCAUUUAGGCGAGGAUGCUCAAACUUUUUGUAAAGUAAAUAAAUAAGGAUAGAAUAUGAUAGAAGAAAUAGGAUUAGGAAUGUUAUUGAAUUUUUACAGGAAUUUUAUGUUUUUUAUAGUUAGUUUUUAUUUACAGGAAUUUUUCUCUACAAAUUAUGUUCCACGGAUUUGUUUUUGAGAUUAUUAUUAAAUAAAAAAC